rnacentral:rRNA from 1 species
UACGUAGGGUGCAAGCGUUGUCCGGAAUUAUUGGGCGUAAAGAGCUCGUAGGCGGUCUGUCGCGUCGAAUGUGAAAACCCGGGGCUCAACCCCGGGCCUGCAUUCGAUACGGGCAGACUAGAGUUCGGUAGGGGAGUCUGGAAUUCCUGGUGUAGCGGUGAAAUGCGCAGAUAUCAGGAGGAACACCGGUGGCGAAGGCGGGUCUCUGGACAGUUCCUGACGCUGAGGCACGAAGGUCAGGGGAGCAAACGGG